rnacentral:rRNA from 1 species
CAGCAGCCGCGGUAAUACGUAGGGUGCGAGCGUUAAUCGGAAUUACUGGGCGUAAAGCGUGCGCAGGCGGUUCGCUAAGUCUGAUGUGAAAGCCCCGGGCUCAACCUGGGAACUGCAUUGGAAACUGGCGAGCUUGAGUGUGGCAGAGGGGGGUGGAAUUCCACGUGUAGCAGUGAAAUGCGUAGAGAUGUGGAGGAACACCGAUGGCGAAGGCAGCCCCCUGGGCUAACACUGACGCUCANGCACGAAAGCGUGGGGAGCAAACAGGAUUAGAUACCCUGGUAGUCCACGCCCUAAACGAUGUCAACUGGGUGUUGGGGAAGCGAUUCCUCANUACCGUANCUAACNCGUGAAGUUGACCGCCUGGGGAGUACGGCCGCAAGGUUAAAACUUAAAGGAAUUGACGG